rnacentral:lncRNA from 1 species
UCUUCCGAUUUGUUAGAUUGGCGCACUGGUAAACGGUCGGCCCACUUGCUUAUUGAGUUAGAGUAGCGCUCGAAAUUUGUUUGCCGAUCUCCUUGAUGAUGACCGUAGCCUGAGUUUUCGCGAUAACGCGUAGAGUCAAGUUGAUCCCUGUAAAGUCUCGCGUAGAGUCACGGUUUCGAGUGGGGGACAAUUUCGGUUCGAAAUUGAGUGUGGCCAAAUUCCGCUGCACGGGGUCUCGUCGAGUCUGCGUAUGUAAAAAGGAUCACCUCUCGUGUGGGUCGCGUAUCACUGUGCGUAGAUGCUCGGUUUAGCGGGACGGGUUGCGAACUUUUUGGAAAUAGUGACUACGACUGGAGCUCGGAUGCGUCACAAUACGCUACACGCAAGCACGAAAAGGAAAGCUUCCUAGAUUUAUUAAUUUGGUCGCGAUUAGCGCGUCGAGUCACGUCCUUUUGGUUUAAUUUAUGAAUUAUUGUGUAUCAGUAAGGUGGCGACUAGCGCACGUAGGAGUAAGACAUCACCUAGAUUUAAUAACGAUCGCGGUUAGCGCGUCGAUUAUGAUCUCGAUUACGUUUUUGUCUAGCGGUUUAUGGUUAAGUGACGAUUAGCGUCGUAGUUAGUAGAGGACGAUCGCGGGCAGCGCAUCGAGUCAAAAUUUUGUUUUAGGUUUUUGUGAGUUAGAGUAUUAUUAAGACAGUGACUAGCGCACGUAAGCUGUA